GGGCACAAGUACCAGACUAGAACCGGUGACUUCUCAGCCACCUGGGUUCUCUGCACACACAGGAAAUAAGACCAGAGGUGGAGAUAAAAGUAGAAAUAGAUCUGCUCUUCUAGCUGCUGCCCAUUCGUCUUCUGGAGCCAGCUGGGUCGGAAGAGAAGGGCCAACAGUGCCUUUGCUCCUGUGGCUUUCCCCUUUCCCAGUUCCACAUGACAGGAUCUGGGCCAGUAUCACAGUUGUUGGCACAGACGCCCUGUUUUCCUCCACUUCCUAGAAUGGCUCCUCAUUAUUGAUUCUCACUACAUGAUGGUGAGUUCUGGAUUGAGACAUGCUCAUUUUGAGCUGCUUGAACAGCAAGCUGAAACAUGAAACUAGAAGAAACCUUAGGAUGAUAGCAAAACGAAUAAAAAUUAAAUUCUUAGAUUGUUUGCCACUGUACCAAACACGUGCAAAGAGCACUCCUUUUCAAGAAAGAAAGACCUAAAACCAACACAACCAAAAUUUAAAUACUACUUUUGCCAUGUGAAAUUGUCUAAUCAGCCUCAUUUUCGUCUAUUGACAUCAUCAUCUUCUGUUUGUUCUGAUGCUUCAUUUUUAGUAUCUCUAUGGGCUUAUGAAAGCAGAAAGAUUGCCUGGGUUGGAACAAGCUUCUCUACCAUUUCCUAUGUGCCCGUUCUCAACCAAAAUAAAUCAGCGCAAAUACCAGUGUCUGCUCCUUACCAGACCUUUGAGACCUGCUUGGAAGAAAAAGGAAGGUAUAUCUUAUCAGGCUAGCUGAAAUCAACAAGCCAGGACACCCUUCAACAAUAGUAGUGUUGCCCUUUGGAGUCAGAGGACAUCUUUCUUAGCAUUACCUUUGAGAGUUGAUUGGCCAGACCAUUCUCAGCACAUAACCUGUGAGUUCCAGUGAU